AACGAACGCUGGCGGCAGGCUUAACACAUGCAAGUCGAACGCAUCCUUCGGGGUGAGUGGCAGACGGGUGAGUAACGCGUGGGAACGUGCGCUUCAGUUCGGGAUAACCCAGGGAAACUUGGGCUAAUACCGGAUACGUGCGAGAGCAGAAAGAUUUAUCGCUGAAGGAUCGGCCCGCGUCUGAUUAGAUAGUUGGUGGGGUAAUUGCCCACCAAGGCGACGAUCAGUAGCUGGUCUGAGAGGAUGAUCAGCCACAUUGGGACUGAGACACGGCCCAAACUCCUACGGGAGGCAGCAGUGGGGAAUAUUGGACAAUGGGCGCAAGCCUGAUCCAGCCAUGCCGCGUGAGUGAUGAAGGCCUUAGGGUUGUAAAGCUCUUUCGUCCGGGACGAUAAUGACGGUACCGGAAGAAGAAGCCCCGGCUAACUUCGUGCCAGCCGCCGCCGUAAUAC
rnacentral:rRNA from 1 species